AAUAUUGCACAAUGGGCGCAAGCCUGAUGCAGCCAUGCCGCGUGUAUGAAGAAGGCCUUCGGGUUGUAAAGACUUUCAGCAGUGAGGAAGGUGGGUAUGUUAAUAGCAUACUCAUUUGACGUUAGCUGCAGAAGAAGCACCGGCUAACUCCGUGCCAGCAGCCGCGGUAAUACGGAGGGUGCGAGCGUUAAUCGGAAUUACUGGGCGUAAAGCGCAUGCAGGUGGUUGUUAAGUCAGAUGUGAAAGCCCGGGGCUCAACCUCGGAAUUGCAUUUGAAACUGGCAAACUAGAGUACUGUAGAGGGGGUAGAAUUUCAGGUGUAGCGGUGAAAUGCGUAGAGAUCUGAAGGAAUACCGGUGGCGAAGGCGGCCCCCUGGACAGAUACUGACACUCAGAUGCGAAAGCGUGGGGAGCAAACAGGAUUAGAUACCCUGGUAG
rnacentral:rRNA from 1 species